GACUUUGCACUGUUCUUCAUUGCAGAACUGUAGUGUUGCUUUGUUAUAACAGCCACAAAACUGAUCUGAGAUAAUGCUGAUCUGAGAUAAUGCUGAUCUGAAGUCUAUUUAUUGUUUAAUAUAGAAUAAGCCAUUAGUGUGUGCUAUGUCUUGGUAUUAUGAAAAUAAUAACUAAGUACAUCCCUUUGCUCUAGAAAAUGUUAGGAGCACAAAGCAGUAGAUCUUCUAAGUCCUUGUAUGUACUACCUAACGCAGCCUAGUAAAGUAUGGUGUUUUCUAUUUUAACUGGGAUUGUCAUAAUGAAUCCUUACUUUUUAAAGUGACCCAUGGGAUGUUUGAAUGCUAAGAACCAGCGGCACAGCAUGAGACUCUUGGUGUAGUAAAUAUUUAAUAUCGUGUUUAUUUAAUUUUGCAGUAGCAUUAUUGAUGCUGUACACUUGUACCUAAGAUCUCUACAGAAAGACACAAGGCUGCUAGGAGGGGAAGUUUGGCAAAAAUAUCUUUGUGCUCUCAUCAUGGGCUGGAGAAGAAUUUCAAAGUUCUUCCUCACAGAGUGUGGAUUUUAGUGGCUUUUAGUAUCUAUGAUAACUUCUGUUAAUUGUGGACAAGCUUUGAGUAUGCCCAGGUGCCUUCCAUGAGAAGUGUAGCAUUUAACACCAUUUUAAAACAAAGUGAUUGGAAAGAGGAAACAAUCAUAUUAAGCAUAUCCUUUGCAGGUUCAAGAACAACAGCAUAUUUAGUUGGUAGGAUGGUAUGAAGGAAACCUCAGGGACCAAGAGGAGCUCAGCUGUGAGGUCAGACAGAUUUUAGGCAGUUUGUGUGGAAGACUGAUCUGCCCUACUGCCCAUCCUGACAACUAUCUCUGAGUCUGGCUUCUCUCUAAUAGCUUUGCAUUUUCUGCAUCAGGUGUUGUCCCACAAACCCUGGUUUGACUUGAUGCACAGACUUGGGUGGAAGUCACUCUAUUAGUAGCACUUUGUCCCAAAACAGGUCAGAUGAAAGGAGCAGUUUCACAAUGGCAUAUCCAGCCCUUGGCUUUCUGGGCAUGCAGCCCUAUGAGGAGUCCAUGGCCAAGGUUGCGAUUGGCUGGUGGUGGACAUGGAUACCCUAACUUUUGGAGGAUGGGUACCAGUCCUAGAAUGUGAAUGUGGCAGCGUAGGGACUGUGUGGGAUGAGGGGAUUCUCUGACCUUUCCUCCAGUGAAGAAACCAUUUAUGUGGUAUAGGUGACCUGGAAAGCCACAGCUGAGCUGCCUCUCCCAUGCAGUGGUCCAGAAGGCUCCUACCAAAUCCUACGCACAAUGGAAUUGCAGUCUGGUAUCUUAUUUAUAGACCCAUAUUUCCUUAUGCAGAGUUCAGAUUCAGACAAAAGUGUUGCAGAAAUGUUUAUCUGGCUUGAAAGUUCUUUUGGACCAGCUGGGGAUCCUGAAUAGUGCAAGAGGCUGCUUUUCUGCUUCAGCUUUUGGGUUCCUUGAGCUGCUUUGCCUCUAGUGGAGGAAAAAAAAAAAAAAAAAAAAACGUAAAGAAGGAUAAAAACUACACAAGAACAGGCUCUCUUUACCCCCAUUUCUUCCCCUGAUGUGCAACUUACCAAGCUGGGAUAAUGGCUUUCAUCCUUCGGGGGUUUUUGACUAAGGAUAAGCAGGUAGUCAGAUCAGACAAGGACUGAUCUAAUCCUUCCCAGCCUCCUACAAUCUCAGCCUUGCUAAGUUUCAGCUUUAGUUCUUCACUUAUUCAUUUUUUCCUUCCUAGUUUCCUGUGAAAAUGCUUGUAUGAUUUCACAUUUGUUAACGUAUUUUCUCAGCCUGUAGACUCGCAUUCAUUCCCGCAACAUUGGCUUCUCACCACCCUCCCUUCUCUCUCACCCAGUCUCAGAUUUUCAGAGUAAUCAGUAAAUGUAUCCUUUGCAUGCUAAUACAUACCCUUCAUUACAUGCCAUGCAGCUUUUCUAGGCAAAUACAUAGAUCACCCUGUUCACAGAACUCAUUCUGUCCAUAAAUCACAGAACGUUCUGCCAGAUAAGGACUUGGAAAUCCUGAUUUCUCAGUCAUCUUAAAGCAGGAAAAUCUGAGAUUAAGGAACAGGGUCAAAGAAGGUGUUUGUUGCAAUGUGUGUUGUUUUGUGCCUCAACCUUCUUGUCAGAUUAUAGCUAUAAAAGGAGUCCGGGUACUGUAGUAGGAAGCAAGCUCAUCAACAGUCUGAAAGAGGAAGGUGAAUAGAGGCACGUGUUCAGCCAAGGGAACAGAGGACAAAGCAAGAGUUGACAUUGCAGGUAGUUAAGCCAUCUCCUUACUGCUGUUAAUGCUAACACUUGCAGAACCUGUGCUUCACCAGAUCCACUCAGCUGGAGCUGUACCAUUUUUAGGCUUAUCUAUCUGUGUGAGCAAAACCUUUCUGCUCCACUGUUAGCCGAGGGAGAAAAUUGAACAGUCAUACUGAUUGAUUUUUAAGUGACAAAACACAGGUUUACAUGUUUAUAAGUCUGUGAUUGAGAAUGUUGGCCUUAAACUUUACUUGAAUUGUUGUCCUGAGCAACGAGAAAAACACCUUUUCUGAAAUUAUAAUGUAAAUAUGUGCAUUACUCAGCUCUUGGCAGCCAGAUGGCGCCAGAUGGACUUUCAAAAUCAUCUGCAGCGUGGAAAUGAGCCUCUUUCUGUUCCCCAAAUAAAGGCGAGAUGGAUGGAUACCGCUGCCAAGACAGUGGGACAAGUGAAGCAGUAAGGAUGCUGGGGCUGCAGUAUCAAAUACAGAUUUAUAGAACCUGUGUGCAGUAAAAACCCAUCCACAGCAAAGCCUUGGUACAGGGAAUGAUUUUUCUGCUGUCAGAAAUAUUGACUACAUUUUUAUGACUAUUUCAGCAGAUUGUCCUUUGUAAUCGUAUACCUGACAAAAGGAAAAACACAAAUAUUUAGGAACUUGGUUAUUUUUCUUUAUUGUGCACAGGGAAUCCUUAUCAUUGUUCCAUACAUGCUCUAACAACUGACAGAAUGUUUUGUUUGCAAGCAGUAAACUUUGAUUCCAUGAUCUUUGUUAUGAUUAUGGCUUAUUCAAAUGUGGUCUUAGGAAAGAAUACCACAAAGUGUUUCUUCUUUUGCCUUCAAAACUUAAAAACUGCCUGGAAAUAAAUCCCAAGGACCUGGAGAAUUGGGGAGCAUUGGGCAAUUGCUAUUUCUCAGAGCUCCCUCCUUUUCUGCUGAGAUGAACAACUGAAGGAAAUCAGCCAGAUUCUUGUUCAAGAAACAGAACUAAAUUGCCUGAAUCAAAACACACUGAAGAGUUUUCAUGUCCUUCAAGAUUUUCAUGAAAUAUGGGAUUCUUAUAUAUUAAAAAUAAAAAAUCAAGGAGUAUUACAAGGGACCCCAACUCUGGACCACCUUUGGGAACUUGCAGACACAGGAAAAAUGAUAGGGUGUAUUUGCAGCUGCAGCUUUCAGUUGUUUUCAGAUUCUUCUGUUACUGAAGCUCUUAGCUGCACAUAGUGUAACUAUGAAGAAUGGGCAUACUGAAAGUGUCAAGGUGCCUUUUAAGGCAAAGGUAUUGUGUAAAGUCAUGUUUCUAAGGUGGUGUUGAGGUGGCAAAGAGGUGAUGGAGAAAACCAGUGACUGUGUUACAAGCAAAUGCUGUGCAAGAGAAGACAACGAAGCUGUUAAAGCUGAAUCUCAGAAAAUAACUGGCUCAGCUUUGGGCAAUCUUUACCUCAGCAUUGUUCGCAGGGCCUCAUAUUAAUCAUUUUAUAGCAGGCCAGUUGCUGGUAGGCAUGCUGGGCUGCAAACACUCUAAAUUAGGUUUUCUCUUUAUAUGUAUAUUUAAAAAAAAAAAAAAAACCUUGCAGUGCAACAGACUUUUCUACCUAAUUGAGUAAUUCAAGUCCAAUUUUGCUGUAAUCAGUAGAACUACCUUGAUUUACACUGUGGAAGAAAAUGACCCUCUAAGUAAUGGCCUUCCAUGUCAUUCUGGUCAGCUGUUCACACUGCAAACAGUCCAAAACCCCUACAGGGGAAAACAGAGUUCCUGGAACACACAGAGAGUAUGCAUUAUAAUGAAAUGGAAAGCACCCAAAGGCAACGGAGGAAAACUGGUGCCUCAGUCUCGAGGGGUAGAUGUCAGGAAAGAAGCUGUCACCAUCACCAGGAACUCCUCAGCCCAGGAUGGACGUUCCUCAGUGCAAGGCUAUGUCAUAGAAAGAAGGAAAAAGAAGGUAACUGAAGGAUACAGCAUGAUACAGUGUGAGUUCAACCAUGCAGGGCCUGGAUUUCCCAGCGCACCUUUAACCACUUGUUGCAAAGGAUCCCACCGAGCCUGCAGAAGUCCUGAAGGUUCUCUACAUGGUGGAUUUUUCCAGUUCUAGCAUCUCCUUAGCCUGCCAGGAACCAAACAAGGAAGCUGUGUCAUCAAGAUACAUACUAGAGGAUAUAAGUGGAGGACACCAAGGAAUGGACAAAGUGCACCAAGAUCUCUAUCUCUAGUACCACUUAACUCUGCAGGAGGCUUGCAGGACAGACAUAUCCUUCCAAGCUGUGAGUGAAGCCAGUGUGGGAAAAGCAACGGAGGUACAGGAAGGAAUUCUAGAAAUAGCACCUCCAGGUUUGACCUGACUGUGAGGCUGAAGAGCCACAUGGUGGUUUGUGCUGGAACAGCACGGUGCAUUCAUACGUCUUUGUCCAUACGAACUAGCUUGCUCCUUAGAGAAAUUUUCAUUACUGUAAUGAUCUGCUGGGGGUGGGGGAGCUAGGGAUCUCUGCGUUGUAUUUUGUACAUCGUCUCUUCAGAGUGCUUUUUAAAAUUAGCAGCUGUAUUUUUUUCAUCAGAAAGGAAUUACAUAUGACAAACUGCUGAUCAGGUUCUUCAAGAUAGAAGAAAUCAAGGAGAAAGUACUUUAACUAAACACACAAGGACUCUGGAAGGGAGGAGCUGAAGUGAAAAAAUUUUGUCCCAGAAAAGAACAAAGGGAGGGUUCCAAACAGGAGAAAUCAAUACUUAAAUAUGCAAAUUAAUUCUUAGAUUUCCUCUGAUCAACCACUAAUCUCAGCUGGCUUGAGAAAGUCCCAGAAACUGUGACACUAAAAUAGAAUUACAGCCAAGAUGAAGAAGAGAACUAGCAGACAUGUUAUGAUAUCCUGAAACAUGAUAUCAGUACUGCCACAUAGUUCACACAGCCACAGAAAAAUCUGCAGUAACAAGUAUGCCGUCAUAGGCCUGCUUCCAGGGAGGAAAUAAUUGUUCUGAGUCAUUGCCAGCAAUGACACUGGGGACAUUGACCCUUAGGAUUCAAAGGAACCAUGGUACAUCUCGAAAGAUAAAAGUAAGCACAGAAAUUCAUGUUAGUGCUGUGGAAAAAGGAUGCUUUUGUACACAAGACUGCAGACUAAGGUCAAGCUUCCUCUUUGGCUUUGAGCAUAUCACUAAUGUGUUCUGCACCUCAGCUCCCCACCUAGGCAAUGAGCACAGGAAUUCCUUUUUUGCUCUUCCAUCCACUUGACAGCAAUUUUCUCAGCUCCAAACUUCCUUCAACAAUAUGCACGUGUAGGACAUUAUGUAGUAGGGUCUACAGAUGUUGAUUAAAAUUUAAGAUAGUAGAGCCUGUCUGAGGCUGAUAGUCCAUCAUGUCUUGAUGAAACCAACUGCUGGCUUUACAAGUCAUUGUCCUGUAGCCUAUUUCCCGUCCAACUGGGAUUUGUUUCCUAAAUGAGAAGGGCUCAUUCAGAAAAACCAAUCUGUCAUGUUUAGGAGAUUGCAUGACAGUCUUGUUGGGCAAGAAACAAUAGAAGUGCCUGGAAGUACAUUAGGUGUGCUUUUAGCAAACUCAUGGGUACUGCGUCAGGUAAAUGUGUUUUCCUUCAUUCAGCUGUUCUCUGCUCAGGCCUUAUCAGUAAUAAGGAUGUCUCAUUAGCAGUAAUCCCAGACAAAACUGAAGAGGCCCCAGUUCACAAAAUCAAAACAAUAAAUGAUCUUUCUGCCUGGACUGGGGGAAAGCAGAACAUCGUUACUUGGAUUUGUGAGGUCCAAGUCCAAUUUUUCAGUCUGGCCUAUUACUACAUAUAUUUUAUUAUUAAAACAGAAAUAUAAAACAAGGAAACUAUAUAUAAAUAUAUAUUACAAGGCUAUGCAUAUAUUUCUUCAGAAGCUAUCCACAUGUUUCUACUAGUCUUCUAAUUCUAUCAAGAGCAAUGGGAAUUACAUUAAAGUAACAGAAUAAGUAAUGCACUAAAAUAAGUAAUCAGGUGUCAGAUUGCUUAUUUUUAUUUAAUGAUCAGCCUCUCUUGAUCCGUGUAACUAAACCAUAGGUAUGUUUCUUCUGUUAUAUGUGCUCCUGAGAAGUAACAUACCUAGUUUGGUGGUUGUAGUCAUUUUCUUGUGCAGAAGUGCUGUAGGCCUGGGUCUUGUUCUAGGCCUGAAAACAAGUAACUUCUAUGUAUGUAAACAAGCAUAAACGGUGGUAAAUGGAGGCUGUGUCUUAGGGUAUAUUCCCUUGGUAACAACCUGCUUGUCUUCAGGCAGGACAACAGGACACAAGCAGAUGUGAACUGAUUUCCUAUUCUUCAUUAUUAAUGGUAAGCCAUUGGGUUUAUUUACAAAAGCUUGAAACAUGGUAGAAAAGCUCUGAGGAAUAAGGAAAGAAAUAGAGUUGUUUCCCAAGAAUGGCAUCUACUGGGAGAAUUUUGCCCUACAGUGCUGUAUUUAGGAUCCAGGGAGCUUACCUGAUGGGACCUCAUUCUAAUGCAAAAGCAGAUAAUAAAGACUUCAGAAAAUGUGUUUAGAUAUGCUGAAAAUAGAAGAUUUACAAUGGACACUGGAAAUUAAAUUGCAUAUUCAGUUCCCCAUGAUUCCUCUAGAGCAUUCUGUUGACUAUUAAUGCCUCAGAGAAGUAUCCCUUCUUUUCCAAGAUCACCUGGUUUGGUUUAUAAUUGGGUGUAAUUUAAUCAUGCAUUUCUAAAGCACCGUGGGAGCCAAAUAUCCCAAAGCACUUUACAACUUAAUGGCAUUAACACGAGAAAGCAUCAGUAUAUUCCCAUGGAGCAAAAACCUGAUACCUUAUUUAUGGGCUGAGAAACACAAAAAUUAAUUGCUUGCCUACAAUUGUGUAUUGGGUAAAUGGGAGACUGAGGUUUCUGAGUCUUCCUUCUCUUGUUUUUCAUUUUGUAUUUGUUUACAUGAGGAAUAGGUACAUUGGUCCGAUGCUGAGGGUAAUGCAGCGUAUUGUUCAUUUCUUCCUCUCUGAGUGGGGAAAGAAGGCCCAGGGCAUGAACUGUCAUACCUAAGCUCUUUGGAUUUGUACUUAUGCAGAAGAAGACUCCCUUUCCUGAUGGUUCUGGCUAUAUGUGUGUAUAUGUUUGCAUAUCUGUGUGCAACAGAGAGUGUGAUAUAAAGCAGCCCACAGCAUCUCUAUUUCCUUGGCACAGUGUUGUGACCUCAAGAUGGAGUGUCCCAGCAAGGACUAGCAUUGUGCACCUCACCAACAAACCAUAGCGUGAGUCACAGCAAUGACUGCAUCAUGAACUAUGCUUUCACUAAGAACCCCCACCCAGGAGUGUCCCCAUACAAGGGUAAUGUUAGUAUCACAUGCAAGUUCAAGUUGUGGUUUAGCUGUAGCAACAAGUGGCAUCUGCCUGCUUACGAUCCCAACAACCUACAGAUGACCAUAAGUAAGUCAGAUCUGCAGCUGCUAUGCUUCAGAUUGUGUAACUAGCAGUAGAUUUUAUGUAUCCGAGUAUAGUUUAUACCCUGCAAUUUUUCAAGGCAAAUGUUCUUACUGUGACUGGUAGUGUGGAUCACACUUCUCUGAAUCAUUUUGGCUCUUGUGCCUGCCCGUAAAGGAAGCAAUUGCCCAGUUCUGCAGAUAAAGGUCCAAGGACCAGGAUUUCUAAGAACUUAUCUUCGGAUCCAAAAAGCAGCCUUUCUCUGGCAUCAUCUUCCUUUGAAAUCAUUAAGAUUUGCCUUCAGUUCUUUGAAAACAGUAUUAGAUCCCUUAAAAUGGCAUAUUUGGGCUAGCAGUCUUGUAAAUACCCCCAGGUGACUCAAAAGCAAAUAUGGCUUUUCUCAGUCCCUAAGCAGGCCUACUCUACCCAUUUCCAAGUAGUCCAAACUCUAACAAGAGCUUUUUGCUUUUUUCACAAAUACUAAAGACUGCACUGGUUAAAUCUUCUCUUCCUCUGUGAAAUGCCAGGAAUUUGCCAAUAUUUGCCAAUAGUUUACUAGUAAACAUUUCCAAGAGGCAAAAAGUUAGUUAAAUAAAAAUUAAAAAAAUCAGACACUGAUAUCCUCUCUUUCCUUCCCUGCUUUUCUCCAUGCCAGAAAUUCCCACUCAGUGAGAGAAUCUCAGACAGGUUGCAUUCAACUAAACAUUUACAGGUGUGUAGGGUGAUGUUUUGCUAAUAGUAAUGCACAAGCCACACAUAGUUUCCCUGUGUCAUGAUGCUUAAACUUGCAGCUUGUAGACUGGUCUUAGUACAGCCAUGCCUGGAAACUGCUGUGUCCUCUGAGUUUCAGUAUUCCCUAUUAUGCUCACUCUACUUAUGAUUAACCGGGGAUCAAGGUUAAACAUUGGAGAGCAAGAAAUCUCCAUCCUUUUGUCUGACGUGAAACUCUUUCCCCCACUUUCCUUUCUAGAGAAAAGGCACUGUGCCUCUGGACCUGUUGUUAUUCUUUACAGGGAAUAAGAGAGAGGCACUGCCAGACACAGCUUGAAAUGAAAUUGAUACAGCACUAAUAAUGACGAGGUAUAUAUUUGGAAAGAUCUUUUAGGGUUAUUUUUGUCUGUGAUCACUGCUUCUGGACUGCCUGCUGGCAACUGCUGAGGCCCCACUCUGGAGGAGUCAGUCUCUCUGCUGGUGGGGAAGUAGCUCGAUGUGGGUCAGUGGAGGGAAAGGAUGUGUGCAUGCCGUGUUUCCUGCUCUGAUUUUCAAGAACUCAUUUGUCUCUUUGCAUAGGAUAGAUACGAUACUUCUUUCACUGAAGCCGGCCGCUACACACCUAAAACACCAAAGCAGUUCUUUGCUCUUUUUUAGGAUGCUCUGAUAUUACUGGGUCUUAUGCUUCCCAGGUUCACUGAUGCACUCCUCCCUGAAGCCACAGCUUCAAGCCACAUCCAACAGCUGGAGGAGUUUCUUAGUUCCCAAAAGCAGUGAAAUCUCUCCCUGGCCUGGCAUCAUUAUCAGCCAAGCUGAUGCAAGGAGAACUUUGGCAGUGCUGUUCACCGGUGCCAAGGAAAGACAGGCAGACUGGAGGGGCAGAACAGCUUUCUAUACCUUUGGAGAUCUGAUUACCGGAAAGGACAAACCUACUGCCUUCCCAUGCAAACCCUGUUGUGGUAAGAACUGUUACAAUAGGAACACGCCUCUUCAAAGCUGUGCAAAGCAACCUGCUUGUAAGCAGAGGUAGCUAAGGAGCAAGGCUUGCAAAAGCACUGUGUGGGUGAGGUGCUAAUUUAUAUUUGGAUUUUUUAAUGGCCCCUUGGGUGGGGGGGGGGGGAGGGGAGCUGAUAUAUCAGAUGCUGUAAUAUCUUAUUUCCAGGGCCUCCUGAGACUCCUCCUUGUCCUCCAUGACUUACCUGGGAGAGUCUCUGACCUGCUAGGGGCUUUUGCAGCUGAGUGUGCUGGGGAGAGCAGAUGUCAGAAUAAGAAAUAAUGGACUGAAAAACUAUCUUCAGAAGAUGAGGAUGUCACUUAGAAUUUAACUUAAUUGCAGGGUUAUUUUAGAACUGCAGAACUAUACUCUUACUGAUUUUCAUUCUGGAUGAGUGGUGGUUAUUGCCUGGGGCUGGCUGCCGUCGGCUGCAGGACAGCAAUACCUGCUGUGGGUGCUCUAGCUGUGAAAGGACUCUGUUAGACUGGGAGCUCCUUCAGACCAUGAGGACAUUUUUAGGUGUUUCAAUGGUCCUUACAUAGUGACAGGUGGCCCAAAAGGGAAGGCAGUAAGGAAUGAUGUAAGAGAUGCGCAAAUGGGUUCCAAACACCUGUGCUGGAAUCUCUGCUGCUGAUUUCUCUGCUGAUUCCACGGGAGCUAAACCUCCAUUUGUCUCCUCUCUUAUGUAGACUUUUCCAUCUCUCUUCUUUACGGAACUUGCGUUCUUCUGCUUAGUCAUAUUUUCAGUUUUAGCCUUUUUCACAGUAUUUCCAAGAACAGUGCAUUGCUUCACCUCUGUGACACAGAGCAGCAGCAUCUUACAGCUCUGAAAGGGUGAAUCUCGUUUUCUGUGGCACAGCGCUAAGGUCACAAUGCCUGUUAGACAAAGUGACUUUUUCACAACAGUGUUGAAUUGAACAAAGAGAAAUGAGAAUGAAAAUGAGAUUUCCCAGGACUUGAAGUAUCGCUGCCUAUGAAAGCUCUAAUCAGUUGUUUUUGGAGUUGCUACCAGUUAUUUAGGAAAGCUUUUAAACAGCUUUAUGAAGCCACGUAGCUAGUGCUUUGUGAGACUUCCACUCCAAACACAGGGCUGGCUGCAGUGAUUGCAGCACUUCUCACUUUCGCUUUUCUUAAGAAAAACGUGAUAGAACCCUCUUGGACACAGUGACAGACAGUUUGCAGAAGUCUCAACACAGGACGUAAUUGGUAGAACCUGCUUUGUUUGGUCCAACAUGCAGAACAGCACUGCUUGGCUGCAUGGUUUGUUUUUGCUUGUGUGGAUCAAAAUGCAAGUGUGCUUGGCUUCUGUAAUGGUCAGUUAAACUAACUAGUAGAGAGUGGGGCUGCAACAGGGCCAAUUCCGAUGUUUCCGUAUUUCCUUCCUCUAAAGUGGUUUCAGGCAACACACUAAAGAUUACAUUUCUAAUACAUAUCUGCUAACAUAUCUUAACAGUAAUAAAAGGUGCCGAAUACUGCUGUUUUCCCUUCUACUUAUCAGCUUGCUUCACUGGUCAAUGAGAAUUUUGCUUCUGAGUUGAGGAGAGCUGGAUUCUGUCUCCUUAUUUUCCAUGUCCCCAGAUAGCUCAGCAGGACCUCUGUGAUGAUGUAAGCUUCGUUAUGUCAGGCUGUGUAUAAACAAACCAUAAGCCAUAAAUCUGAAGUACUUAAAACCUUGCAAUUCCAAAAAAGUAAAUACAGUCUGCAGCUUUGCAAAUGAGGGAGUCACCAUGUGAAAGAGCUGGUUGUAUAAAGCAAACCCAAGAUCUAGAAUGGUCCAGUAACCACACUGCUGGUGGGUAAGACUAAGGCAUUAGAACAUGUCUGAACCACUGAAGGAUUGACAUAUUCAGAUAAAUUUAUAUAUAUAUAUAUUAUUGUUGGUUCUUUUAGUUUGGAGUGAUUUUUUCCUGGAGCUUUUCUGGUAUAAAAGUAUAACGUGGCCAGCCACACACAGGCUUAGUCCACGCACACCCUUAGUGUGUGGGUACAGGAUGCUCCUCCCAUGGAGCUUCUCAGUUUUUGAAAUGAAUUGUAAGAGACAACGAAGUAGGAAAGGAACAGCUGAUUUCCCUCGCAGUUAUUCCUUUGGGCUGCUUUGAAACUUGGUGGUGGUUCUGCCUAGUACUGAUUCAUCCUCACAUCAGAGAUCACUGCACUCAAAAGGGGAGAGUGGAAGGAUCUACGUGAAGCCUGCGAGCAGAUUCAUUUAAUGGACUGGGAGCGCUUGCUCUGCAUUUCUACGCUAUAGAUCCUUGAAACCUGUUCCACUGGUGACAGAUGGCCUGGUUCAGGAUUAAUGAAACCAAAUAUCCGUGCCGCUGCAUCAAACACAGCUGUGGAAACUGGCAUCAGAUCCUCAAUCAGAAAAAGAUGUCCAUGCUAACCUAUUUGUCCCCUGGAAAUUUUUGGUUAGGAGAGCAGAAAAAAGAGAAUUGGCCAUUUGUGUGGGACUUCUGGGUAACCUCGGUGAGCAACCUUCUCAGAUAAUCAUUUGCAGCAAGCUGCCUUCUCCCUGGAAGUGUGGACAAAUGACCAUUGUAAAUGGGACUGGAUGUUGCAGCAAGGAGCCAGUGUCCUUCAGGGCUCUGCACCCCGGGACGCUUGGGGUGUGUUGUAACACUAGCCAGUUGCCAUCAGCACAGUGGUGCCUAGUUCAUUUGUGCUGGAUGUGCUCUGUGGGGUGCCUGUGGGCGUGUUUCAGGGGUUCUCCAGAUGGAAAUACUACAUCUGGCUGCGACAGCGCCUUUCUGCUUCAGUGCAGCUCUGUGUAGCUUCGGGGCAGAGCUACACCACCAAGGGACAUAAGUGGCACAGCACUGCCUGCUACAGAGCUUCAGUAGGCUGCUGUCACAGAAACAGAAAAAGAGCAAAGAGAUGUUACAUCUGCACAAUAAAUGUACCCAGUAAAUUAAUAUUUUUAAUUGUUGUUACACACAGAAGAAAUGAGAAAAAAAAAUACAUUCCAAACAGAAUUAAAACAGUAAAAUCAGCAUAAAAAUAUGUUAAGAAAAGAUCCCAGAUCAAGUAGCCGUACUGCCUGUGGUGACCUUUACAAUCAUGGUAAAGGAAGUAAGUGCUGGAGACUUUCACACAUGGCAAAAUACUGACUCCUUGGGGAGAGCAGCUGCUUCAGUCACAUCUUUCGGCACACUCUGUCUGGAACGCGUGGGAGAGGGGCCGGAGUGAGAGGCUUACAUGGUACAAGACAUGGACUUAGUAUUCAGGACAGACUCCUGUGAUCUCAGUAAGGCAGAACUACUGCUUACCCAGUGGCAUCUGUGCUCUUGUUUUGGUUUUUGGUUGGUUUGUUGUGUUGUUGUUGGUUGAUUGGGUUGGUUUCUUUGCUUUCAAAUUUAUUCUUUUUCAAUAGUUCCCGCUGGCCUGGCCCUGCCCACGCACUAGGCCUGGAGCAAGAUGUCCCUGCUGAAUGGGGUACGAGGUUUGAUCUAGCAGAAGCCUACAAGAGUGAUGUCUAAGUCCAUGUGUUCGUACAGACUUGUUGCUCUCAUGCAAUGGGCUGGAUUUGAUUUCCUGAUUUUUGGCUGUUGGGAAAAGAGUUCUUCUGUUUCCUGAUGUUGUCUGUCCCCAAAUGGGACCAGUCGUUGCUCCCACUGCAAUCUUGGCAGCUUGGUCCCUGCAUCCCUCUGGCAUGAGACUGACUGUGGGCAGGCCUUGUGCUUCAGCCUUCCUUUUGAGCUUCAUACCACUCCAGUAGCUCAUCCUACAGCAGCAUAGUGUCACCACAAAAAAACAGUACGAGCCACAGAAAUUUUGGCAUUCCUGCCAACUGGCCACCUUUUUUAAUUUGUGAUCUAUCUAGAGUCAUAUAUUUUUAUUUUUUACAAUAAGAGCAAAAAUAAAAUAACAUUAAGAAAAUUUCCUCCAAACUAAGAAAACUAAAAUCCAUCAUACAUUGUAAAGAAACAAUGAAAAUUUGCAUUGUGUUUGCUUCUGAGUUCAUAUUAAGAUAAGAUUUUACUGCAGCUGCUUCAAAAUUAUGGUCCAUUUCACAUGUACACAGUUCACAUUUCUUGGUAACUUCUCACUUCCAUUUGCAUUAUACAGCAGCUAGUGCUACCAGAACCAAGUCAUUUCUAGCUGCAGUCUAGAUCUGAAUCCAGUGAACUGUGGCAUUUUUAUAGUCAUUGAGUACAUGGUGAUGGUUUAGAGCUCUAUUUCUAGAUAUAUUUUUGUUCUGAUUGGAUUGAUGGUGCAAGUACUUCCUUCAGUAUAGAACCUGCUACUACUUUGUUUCAGGUUAAAAGGAAAUAAUUCAAGAAGGAUGUGUCGACCUUAUUGAUUCUAUCAAGGCCUUCCUUCUCCGCUGAUAUUAAAGCCAGUAAACUUAGAAUCACAGAAUUAAACAUCCCUUUUUAAGCUGUCUCCUGAAACCUAGCUGACCUUCUGCAGGAUGAAUGUUGAAUAGAAUGACUUCAUUUUCUGUUCCAGUCUUUUCAACAGCCAUCGCAGACUGUAAGAGCACUGUGUUUUGGCUGGAUUAGAUUCAUUCUAGCUAGCAGAUAAGGAUGAGACUAGACUGCAAGAUUCAGAUGCACAGUUCACAUCUAAGAAUUUGGUUGAGGCUUUUAGAUAAACUAAAAACUGUUUGCCAAACAGAGAUUAGAGUUCAGGCUUUUAAGCUAAAACCUCCACAGAGGUUCAAGUGUAGCUCAGCCUAUCCUGUUAGACCACAUGAAUAAAUAUGUUUCCUUUGCUUUCAGUCUAAUGCAAAUCAAAAAUGCAGUAACGCAUUCCAUGCUUCUGCAGAUGCCUAGAAGUAUUCUUAUCACUACAGUACAUUAAUAUUUGAGACAUAUAGCACUUUACAUCUUCUGAGUGCUGUAUAAGCAUUAAUCCUUACAGCAUCUUUGUGAGGUAGGUAAGUGCUAAUACCACAAUUUUCAAAAUGGGAUGAGAACAGACACACAGGUCCUGGUCCUGGCUGUUAUAACCUGGUAGAGCACUGGCCCUCCUACGCUCAUGCCUACUUACAUCAGAUGAGGAUCUGGCUGCAAAAAAAAACUGUGACUUACCCAAGGCCACAAAAGGAGCAAGCAUGGAUAAAAGGCAGGAGAAGUACCUGGGAGGAACAUGAUUAUGCUGCUGUUGAGUAAAAGAGUCCACGUGUACAGAACCCAAGCAGCGAGAACAAGGCACCUGCCACUAAGCUUUGCGCUUGCUGUUUGCAUUGAUCUGCUUCUUCCUGGCCAGCUCCCAUCAUUAGCAUAGCAGCAAGAUGAAAACUUACAGGUGUUGGUAUCAAACUAUGGCACAAGAAAGCUUGGAAGAAUCACUAAAUAGAGAAACAAGCCCUGGAGCUGAUAGUAUCGGUGCCACCAGGCAUGCUGCACCACUGGGGUGCUUCAUUUCCUCUGUAGUGUUCCUGGGCUGAAGAGUGGGUGUUCCUCAAACACUGCACUCCUGACAAGAAGAAUGGCUCAAUACAGUUUUACAAUGCAAAGAGACAAGAAGAAGAUAUACAAAUGGCUGGCAGUGUCAUAGACGAUCACAUGCUUCCCACUUUUUUUUUUUUUUGCUCCCUUUCAUAUUGAAGACUGCCUUUGCUUGGGUUGAGAGAAGAGUUUUAAUCCCAAGAAAAGGUAUUUAGCAGAAUGCAAGCAACUGCUUAGUGUUUCUCAGGGUUUCUGAAACUCUGAAAACUGUCAAAUAAGUGUCCUCAUCAGCUGGUCCCUUCCUAGCAGGAAGGACACCCUCCAGGAAAAUGGUCUCAUUCAGGUAAUAAGGAGGAAAAGUAGAGAAUGCAAAGCAGGAGGGAGAUUUUGGAGAUUAAGAGCCUUUGCUGGCAAACCACUGAGCCAGGCAGGACUCAUCUGGACUUUGUAAGAUGGGGGCUCUGCCUCACGUUCCUGGGCAAGCCAAUGCUGUUGCUUCACUGGCUGCAUCCCAGCCAGCAGCUGACGGUAAAGGGACGACGGCCCACUUGGGUGACACGUGUUUCUGCUGUCCUAAUUAAAGCCACCCACAGACCUCUGUAUGCAGAAACUGCACUUCUGACAGCCAGAGGAGAAGAGAGAGCAGGUCUCCGACUUAAACUUAAAAGAUCCUUUUUUGCAAGCGUACAGUGCCUGAAAGUGGAGGAUGGCAAAGAAAGCCAAGAAGAAAAAGCAGGCAGAAAUGCAAAUCGGCUGUCUUCAGUAAACUGAGGAUUGCUCAUUUCUAAAGGGAAAGAAAGAUAUAAUGGUUCGGAUUGAAAUUCUAAUUUUAAAUCAGAGAAUCACAAAAUGGCUGAGGUUGGAAGAGACCUCUUGAGGUCACCUGGGUAGCUCAGGGCACAGGGAGUUUCUCUGAAGAACUGCCAGAAUAAAGAUUGAGCGUACUGA